rnacentral:rRNA from 1 species
GACGUAGGGGGCCAGCGUUGUUCGGAAUUACUGGGUGUAAAGGGUUCGUAGGCGGUGCGGCAAGUUGGGAGUGAAAUCUCUGGGCUUAACCCAGAGGCUGCUUCCAAAACUGCUGUGCUUGAGUGUGGGAGAGGCGCGUGGAAUUGCAGGUGUAGCGGUGAAAUGCGUAGAUAUCUGCAGGAACACCCGUGGCGAAAGCGGCGCGCUGGACCACUACUGACGCUGAGGAACGAAAGCCAGGGGAGCAAACGGG